rnacentral:rRNA from 1 species
UCAAUCAUAAAAGGUGGCUUUUAGCUACCACUURCAGAUGGACCCGCGGCGCAUUAGCUAGUUGGUGAGGCGGCGGCUCACCAAGGAACCCGUGGGUAGCCUGCCUGUGAGGGUGGUCGGCCACACUGGGACUGGGACACGGCCCAGACUCCUACGGGAGGCAGCAGUAGGGAAUCUUCCGCAAUGGACGAAAGUCUGACGGAGCAACGCCGCGUGAGUGAUGAAGGUUUUCGGAUCGUAAAACUCUGUUGUUAGGGAAGAACAAGUACCGUUCGAAUAGGGCGGYAC